AUCGCAGACAAACUUUUUGUAUUUUUCUGAUUCAUGGGAGGCAAAUAUUACAUGGUUAUUCGCUGAUAGCACAUCUUUUUUAAAAGAUCUGCUUAUAGUUCAUAACCAUACAUUG